AUGUUGUUUCGAUAGACCCUGCGUGAAAAACACCAGGGAAUCUGUAUUUAAUUGACCUCAAUAUUAUGCGUAAAACUAAGUGUGCAUUUGUAGGCGGUGUCGAAAUGGGUCUUUAGCUCUGCCUGAACUGUCGUCCAAUUGGUUUACAAGUCCGGCUGAAGUGACAGGCCACCAAAAACUGUACAGCAUGACUGAUUCGGAGACGGCCCUCAACACUCGCCCAGUCGUGUCGAGAGGAUCGGUGUCUUUGCAGAUUACACGGAAUUGAGCACCUGGGCCAGACUGACACUUUCCGGAGCCUGUCCGAGACGGAACUUGAGCCGAGGAAUCAUAGGUCCAGGCGGUGUCGAAAUGGGUCUUUAGCUCUGCCUGAACUGUCGUCCAAUUGGUUUACAAGUCCGGCUGAAGUGACAGGCCAUCAAAAACUGUACAGCAUCACUGAUUCGGAGACGGCCC